GAUUAUGGCUCAGAUUGAACGCUGGCGGCAGGCCUAACACAUGCAAGUCGAACGGUAACAGGAAGAAGCUUGCUCUUUGCUGACGAGUGGCGGACGGGUGAGUAAUGUCUGGGAAACUGCCUGAUGGAGGGGGAUAACUACUGGAAACGGUAGCUAAUACCGCAUAACGUCGCAAGACCAAAGAGGGGGACCUUCGGGCCUCUUGCCAUCGGAUGUGCCCAGAUGGGAUUAGCUAGUAGGUGGGGUAACGGCUCACCUAGGCGACGAUCCCUAGCUGGUCUGAGAGGAUGACCAGCCACACUGGAACUGAGACACGGUCCAGACUCCUACGGGAGGCAGCAGUGGGGAAUAUUGCACAAUGGGCGCGAGCCUGAUGCAGCCAUGCCGCGUGUAUGAAGAAGGCCUUCGGGUUGUAAAGUACUUUCAGCGGGGAGGAAGGGAGUAAAGUUAAUACCUUUGCUCAUUGACGUUACCCGCAGAAGAAGCACCGGCUAACUCCGUGCCAGCAGCGGC
rnacentral:rRNA from 1 species